ensembl:lncRNA
GAAUUGUUCUGGAACUAGAAAACAUUGCAAGGAGCCUUUGAAUGAUUCAGCAGCAUGGAUGGUAUGGUUCAGGAGCCUAUGCUUAUGCCAUUCUCCUUGGAGGCAUUCAAGGCCAGGCUGGAUGUGGCUCUGGGCAGCCUGGUGGGGUGGUUGGCGACCCUGCACAUAGCAGGGGGUUGAAACUAGAGAAUAAUUGUGGUCCUUUUCAACCCAGGUCAUGCUGUGAUUCUAUGAUUCUCCUGCCUAAUUUACUCAUGAAAGUUGUACUGGAGUGGAAGCUCAGUAUGAGGGAAUACCAUCAGGCAACACCAUGUCUGUGAUAUAUCUGUUGGAGUUCCAGAUGUGGAAAGGCUGAUAAACCCACUGGAUACUGUCUACUACCUUAGGGAAGUAAGGAAAAAGAAAAAGGGACUCCAAUAUAAGGGUUCUGCCAUCUUUAAUAGUAGAAAAAUGCCCUAGAGAAGAGCUCCUAAAUAGGUGGGAGAAAAUAUUUUACCAUCAGAGAUUUGAAGAUCUCUGAAAAUGAAGACACAACAGCAAUAGAUUUUCAAGGAGAAACUACCUUGAAGUAACAGAGUGUUUAAUUUAUCAAAUAAGAACAUAAUAAAAACCUAUGGCUGAAAGGUGGAAGGAGAGACAUUCAAAUGAAGAAUCAGGCAUGUAUUUUUAACCAUGUGAGCAUAUGUAACCGUAACAGAUUGCCAGGGAAAGGGAUGGAGUUCCUAAUAUUCUGUGUCUUCACAUCAGGUAUAGGCAACUUCCUGAAGAAGCACUGAUCAAGACAUUUGCCACCAAACCAAAGCCAGAAUAGAAUGUUAAUGUUCUCUGAGAAUGAUUGGAUUAGAAAACCUAACACAUCUUCAUGCCAUGAGGAUCUGCAAAGUCUUCUCUCUUAUUCCAGUGGCAUAAAGUAUGAACAUGGUCCCUCAGCAACUUUGGUGAGAUAGAAGGGGUAAAGCAAAGGCAGGAAGGAUUCAGGAAAAGAAGCAGAGUGAAAAUUUAGGAUGACAGGAAAAAAGGCUUCAUUUGAGAGAUCAGAAUCCCCCUUUCUUUCCCAUGACUGCUUCCUUGUACUCUCCUUGGCAAAACACUUAGAAGAGGUAAUGCUGAUCCUUCUUAGUAAACUAAAUAGCUCCAGAACGUAUUCACAAGCACUGAAAUCUGAUAAUCUAUAAUAUUAAACUGUGCAAAUAGGAGGAAUUUGGCUUUGGGUAUCUAGCCAUCACCCAAACCGUUAGCAAAUCUGGAAAAUUCAAGGACCCAUGCAUCCUCCUUGCUUGUGGAGUUAAGGGAGUUCAAUACUGUGGACAUGGGUCAUUCUAUGCCACCUAGUCUCAGUGCCAGAGAAUUAGUUUAAGCAUGUUUAAUUUACUAGUACAGACACAAUUCUUGUUUCCUGAAGCUGUGGUAAUUACCCAAGGAGAUAUAAGCCGGUUUGAUUUAACUUACUGUAUACUUAAUAGUUUUUUGGAAAAGAUAAAGGAUUGAAGAUAAAAGUCUGGGACUUUGCUCAUGCUUGACAUUCUUCUCAGAACUCUGAAGAUAUGUACUAGACUACAAUUUUUGUUUGAAAGUCAUCUGAACAGUUUUGCAAGGUUUCAUCAUCUUGUAUUGUCUGACUGUUGGAAUACACCCACUGAAGUACGAAUCUCCCACAUUUUUUACCUGGAAAAAAUUCUGCACAACCAUUGUAGGGCCUUUUUCCCAAGGCGGCAAAAUCUUAAGCCCAGGAAAGGAAAGCAAGAUUCAUUUCCUUCAAGUGAGGAGCUCUCUGACUUCGAGCUAUCCUUAUGUGUGCUCAUCCAUGUGAGAAGAAGAGGUGAUCUACAGGGACUAUUCAAGUGAGGAGCUCCAGAUAUUUGAACCAAGACCUUCCUAAUUAUUGUCUAAUAGAUAGAUCGUGAAAUCACCCAUCAUAAGAUUGCCCACAGUUCAUGAUGAAGGAAAUCGGUCCAUAUACUUUCUGAAUCCAACAUAUGAAGAUCAUUGCUGUUCAAACUUGGCCCUGACCUUGAGAUACGAGACCUUCCUGUGGGUUGCUGAAGGAGACCCAUAUCGAUGGCAGGAGCUGUAGAGCAUGUUGUCUUGCAGGUAGUACUCCAUAACAUGGCUCCUGGAACAUAUUCACCAAAUGUCUCUACAUCCAUAAAGGACAGCACGGAUGGAAACAUCAGGAGAUAAUGCAAAGAAGGAAACAAAAAAAAA